AGCUGCAGCGGCUGCCAUGGCAGGGCUGGUCCCACCGGAGGAGGCACCCUGGCACCCCUGACUCCCAGGAUGAGUCCCAGGGAACACCAGGGUGGAGUCAGGGGCAGGGAGACUCUUGGGGACUCUGAGGGAGCCACAGCCCAGGGAGACCUCCCAAGAAGACCUCCCAAGAAUCAAGCCCAGCCUGUGGACCUGGGGUGCUGAUGGAAUAGACUGAUGCAGUAGAGUCUUGCGGUGGGGCAUGGAGGGGAGUGUGGAUGACACCCAAACCUACUCUGUGAUGAUGGCAGAAGGCAUGAAGGCCCCUCCCCACUCAUGACGCCCCAGCAGGCGGCUUCGAAGGCCUCACGCUGCUCAGACAGGGGCGUGGGGGGUACACCUCCAGCAGCUGGGCUCAUGACCAUGCCUUCAGUGCAGAGUCUGAGAUUGGAAAUCACUGUUAGAAGAGUACAAAGAAGAAAACCACAAAGACUUGGCUGAUGGGGUCGUAAGGCCACAGGAAAUGGAACAGAACUACAGCCUGCCAGAGCAGGAAGGAACCUUCUAGAUGAGCUGGGUCAGUGUUUUCAGACCACGGAGUGUGGCUCAUCAACGGGCUGUACAAUCAGUUUGGGGGCCAUGGUCAGCAUUUUUAAACAAUAUACAAUGGAACACAAAACAUCAGAGUAAACAUAUGCCAUACAGUACAUACAGUAUUGUUUCAUGAAGCUUUAGUUUUAGUGUGUGUGCGUGUGUGCAUGUGUGUGUGUGUGUGAAAACUUUUUUUCUUUUUUACCAUGGGUUGUGGUCAAAGGAGCUAAAAACAAUUUUUAAGUUGGUUUGUAUUAGUCCAUUUUGCAUAGCUAUAAAGGACUACCUGAGACUGAGUAAUGUGUACAGAAAAGAGGUUCUGUAUACAAUUCCGCAGGCUGUACAAGCACAGCACUAGCAUCUGCUUGGCUCUGGUGAAGCCUCAGGAAGCUUUUAUUCAUGGUAGAAAGUGAAGCAGGAUCAGGCAUAUAUCACACAGUGACAGAGGGAGCAAGAGCGAUACCUGGCUGUUUUAAUUAACCAGUUCUAGCGUGAAAUAACAGAGCAAGAACUCACUCAUUACCAUGGGGAGGGCACCAAGCCAUUCAUGAGGGAUCCACCCCCAUGAUCCAAACACCUCCCACCAGGCCCGGUCCAACACUGGGAGUCACAUUUCAACAUGAGAUCUGGAGGGGACAAAUAUUCAAACCAUAUCAUGGCUCAACCCCUACAUUUUACAGAUGGGAAAACUGAGACCAAGGGCAGGAAGAGGCUUUUCCCAGGAGCCAGAGGCAGGACAAAGAUCCAGAGUGUUCUAUGCCAGGACACAGGCCAGGUUUCUUACUGUCUUUCUGGACACUAACCACCUUGCCAGGCCUUACCCCAGGCUAGAGGGGAAGAAUCCAGGGCUUCACAGGGGCUGGGGGCCAGGUGGGAAUCCGGCCCUGCCUCUGACUGCUGGGACAGACACUCUCGGGAGUGCCUUCCUCUCAGGGCUGCUCCUUCUCUGUUGCUUUCUCUGCGUUUCCUCUUCCCACCAACAGUCAGAAUGGCUCAGAUUGAGGUCCCUCUCUGCCCUCCCUUCCACCCUCCUCCUCAGUCUCUCUUGGUCAGGCUGGGUCCUCCCUUUCCCCAAGUCCUUGCUCUCAACACGUCUACACAGACGUUGCUCCAUGGCUGUAAGACCUGCCCAAAGCCCACACAAGAGGCCAGGUACGGUGGUUCACACCUGUAAUCCCAGCACUCUGGGAGGCCUGAGGAGGGAGGAUCACUUGAGGCCAGGAGUUUGAAACCAGCCUGAGCCAUGUAGCAAGACCUCAUCUCUACAAAAAAUUUAAAAAUUAGCGGUCGGGCAUGGUGGCUCAUGCCUGUAAUCCUAGCAUUUUGGGAAGCCAAGGUGGGUGGAUCACCUGAGGUCAGGAGUUCUAGACCAGCCUGGCCAACAUGGCGAAACCCCAUCUCUACUAAAAAUACAAAAAUGAGCCGGGCGUGGUGGCAGGUGCCUGUAAUCCCAGCUACUCAAGACGCUGAGGGAGGAGAAUUGCUUGAACCCAGGGGCAGAGUUUACAGUGGGCCAAGAUCGUGCCACUUCACUCCAGUCUGGGCAAAAGAGUGAAACUCCAUCUCAAAAUAAAGUAAAAUAAAUAAAUAAAUAAAUGUUAAAAAUUAGCUGCGCAUGAUGGCAUGUGCCUAUAGUCCCAGCUACUUAGGAGGCUGAGGUAGGAGGAUCAUUUGAGCUUAGGAGAUUAAGGCUGCAGUGAGCCAUGACUGUGCCAAUGACUCCAGCCUGGGUAACAAAGGAAGACCCUGUCUCAAAACAAAAGCAAAAAACAACAACAAAAAUCAAGGCCACACAAGCUCUUUCCUUCGCAUUCACACACUAUUUCAUAAGAAUAGCUGCCGGUACUGAGACGGAUACAUUUUGUCUCUCUCAAUUGAACAACUCUGUUUUAUAGAAGAUGGGGAAACUCAGGCUAAGAAUUUGCCAAAGGCCAUGUAGCAGUCAGUGGAGGAGCUGGAACUAGAACCAGGUCUACUGGACUAAAAUUGCCACCACAGCACCAUCCUGCCUGGCUGGUUGCUGGCAGUCUUUCCUCUGAAGCAUCUUGGAUUGGGCUGGGAUGAGCAACAGCCAGCAUGGGGGCAGUGGCUGCCUCUCCUACCUUGUGUUGCAAUGAGGAGAGGAACGCUCCAUUCCCAAGAGGGAAGAAUAUCGGAAAGGCAGCUUCCAUCCUUUUCCCAGCCUCCCUAACUCUCUUUCCCGAGAGCGGAGGAAUGACUUAUAAGCAGCUUGGGAGAAGGAGCUGAGCUGGGGGCAUAGGGAAUCUGGCCCUUUCCUGGCCACUCUGAGCUGCUUGUCUACAGAGAGUGCCCGCUGCCCAGCUCCUGCGUCCUCCAUGGGGAAGGGCCAGCAUCCACCUUUGAGAAGCACACCUGGAGGCCCACCUCCUCCGCUCCCCACUCGCAGGCUCACCAAGGGAGGCAGCGAUCCUCCUGGCGGCUGGCAGAGACCGGGCCUGCAGCACAGACUGUUUCCUCGGAUGGGGUACCCUGAGGCCUUGAUAGGGUGAAGGCAUAUCAAGAAGUCUGACUGUGGUCAUGGAGCACUCAUGGGAAGAAGGGGUGUUACCAGCACUAGAAAAUCCGACAUCUUUUCUUUUCACCAUUCCUAGAGGUGUCCCCCAGGCCACAUGUGCAGCCUCAAACUUGGACUCCUGCAGUCUCUCUCCCAGGUCUUCUCACCUCUGCCCAAGCCAGCUCCUACGCCUGAUGUGGGCCCAUCUUCCUCCCCCACCGUCUCCCCUCCAGCUCAACAUAAGCUACCAAGGGGUCCCUCCCUGCUCAUCAGCCUUUCAGCUGUCACUUAACAGGGUGCUCCUGCCCAUUCUCCAAGUGCCUCCUCCAACAGGCAGACUUCCCUGGCCACCACCUCAUAUUCUGCCAGCUCUAAGACUCAUCAUCAGGACCCCUUGUUCCACUUUCACCUUAUUAUUGAUGUUUUCCAAGUGUGUGUCUUGUUUUCUCAACAAAUUACACACAGUAUAAUACCACCACCCAUACUGGCUGAGAUGUCCUGAGUUCUUGCUUACUCUGUGCCAGGCACAGGACAGCUUCUUCUCUGAGGAGGGAAAUGGUAUAAAAGACUAAGCAUAGGGCCCAGCACACAGUCAGUGCUCAAGCAGGGCAGGAGUUUCUCAGAUCUGCUCAAACACCACUGGCAGGUGGAUAAAUUGGUGUACUCUUUCUGGAAAGCCAUUUCCAUUAUGUAUUCAAAGCCUUAAAAUAUGCAUAGCCUUCCGGAUCUGGGCCAGCGACCCCACUUUUAGGAAUUUAUUCUAAGAAACAAUCAGAGAUGUACUCAAAGGUUUAGCUACAGGACUGCACCCAGCCACACCAGUGGAAGAGCUGUGCCUCCGUUUAACUGUAAAAUGGAGAUAAAAAUAGUGCCUAGUCUAUGGGCUGCUGUGAGGAUUCAUAAAUCAGGCACUGAUUAUAUGUAAAGCAAUGAAUGCAGUGCCUAGUACAUAUUGCAGCUUUUCAAAAGUGUUACCUGCUCUUUUUAUUAUUUGAAUUGAAGUCUGAAUGAAGUCAAAGCCCGAAUGGGCUCCCUACCUCCCUCCCUCCAUUCUCGUGAUUUCCAAAACCAACAAAAGGGUUACUAAUAUCAAAAACAGCAUCAACACCAACCACCAUCUAAAUCCAACACAAAGGAACUGGUUAAAUAACAAUACAACUGUAUAUAACACUAUGCAGCCACUCAAGAUGAUGUCAUAGAACAAGAAUUAAUGGCAGGCACCAAUGUACCUAAGUAGAAAAAGGCCCCAAAACUAUUAGUUCAGUAAGAUGGUAAUUUUUUCUUUUAAAAAGCACAUAAAUGUGUAGAAAAAAUAUAUAUACUGCAAAUUGUGAAAA